UACAUAUAAAGGAGGAGAAAGAUAUAAAUAAAUCUAACAAUAAAAUAAUUCGUUCUAUAAAUCUAAAUGAUCUACGAUAAAGCUUAGAAAAGGUUAAUAGAGGUCUUGGAACCUGUCAGGAUUGGAUGGAGAGUGACCGGAAAAGGCUAACCGUUCCCCGAGGACCGAUCCUGGUCCGACUCGAGCUUAUCUAAAAGCUUUAACGAUGGCUGCGAUCUAUUACAGAUAAACGCGGUCCAGUAGAAAAGUAAAUACCGAUAUCGUCGAGUGUGGAUAGUUUCGUCGGAAAUUUUCUUCACGUCGCGUGACCUGAAGGGAAAAAGCAAACUUGAAAUAAAAGUGUGCCGAAAUAUCCGUGCAUUUUCUCGAUGUGAAGUUGAGACGAUUGAAAAAGAAAAUAUCACAAGAUUAAAGAGAAUUGAGAGAAUACACAGUUUAAUGAAGACUGAAUUACGAAAAGGCAUUUCGAAUUGAUCUCGAUUGUGCGAUACAUAGAUGAGGAAAUUACGAGAAAAUGAAACGAAGAAAAAUUUCCUUUUGUCUAUACUUGCUCCUUUUUAUCGGAGCACAGAUUUUUCGAGCACCCCUCUUUGGAUGCGAAAGAAGAAAAGCGAAAAGUGAGAGGUAGCAGGAGUCGUGGCAGCAAAUGAGAUUUAGGAAGAAACAAUUACUCUCCAAGGAAGCGCUUAAACCUUUAUUCGCGAGAGAGGAAAUUUCAAACGAAUUUAUAUACAACUAUUUUCAUUUGCGCACAUGCAUGAGAUAUCGAGAAGAUAUUUGCGUAAAUUCCAGGAGAAAGAACGAAAGAAAUGGAAAUUACCGGUAAGUACUCUAAGCUCGGUACGUCAGAAGAGAGGGGGUGUAAAGGUAUUCCGUUCACUUGCCGAGACCACGAGUAGAAGGGAGGGGUGCGAAGGGCUUGAAAUAACCAGGGGCAAAGGUCGCUCAGUCGCUCUCUGUCCACUGUCUGGCGAGUUUUAUUCCAAAUGCGUCUGUCCUCUCAUCGAUUCAAUCCGCCAACAAUCGACCUCGCUUAUACUCGCGCGAUCAUCGCGUAACG